rnacentral:rRNA from 1 species
CCUACGGGUGGCAGCAGUGAGGAAUAUUGGUCAAUGGACGAGAGUCUGAACCAGCCAAGUAGCGUGAAGGAUGACUGCCCUAUGGGUUGUAAACUUCUUUUAUAUGGGAAUAAAAUGUUCCACGUGUGGGAUUUUGUAUGUACCAUAUGAAUAAGGAUCGGCUAACUCCGUGCCAGCAGCCGCGGUAAUACGGAGGAUCCGAGCGUUAUCCGGAUUUAUUGGGUUUAAAGGGAGCGUAGGUGGAUUGUUAAGUCAGUUGUGAAAGUUUGCGGCUCAACCGUAAAAUUGCAGUUGAAACUGGCAGUCUUGAGUACAGUAGAGGUGGGCGGAAUUCGUGGUGUAGCGGUGAAAUGCUUAGAUAUCACGAAGAACUACGAUUGCGAAGGCAGUUCACUGGACUGCAACUGACACUGAGGCUCGAAAGUGUGGGUAUCAAACAGGAUUAGAUACCCGAGUAGUC